CCUGCGGAAGGAUCAUUAUUGAAUGAAUGUAGAGUUGGUUGUCGCUGGCCCUUUCGGGGGUAUGUGCACGCCUUCUCUUUCAUCCACACACACCUGUGCACUUGUGAGACGGAGGGCUUUAAUUAGUCUUCCGUCUAUUCAACCACACAAACUCAUUGUAUUUAAACUGAAUGUAAUUGAUGUAACGCAUCAUUAGAACUAAGUUUCAACAACGGAUCUCUUGGCUCUCGCAUCGAUGAAGAACGCAGCGAAAUGCGAUAAGUAAUGUGAAUUGCAGAAUUCAGUGAAUCAUCGAAUCUUUGAACGCACCUUGCGCUCCUUGGUAUUCCUUGGAGCAUGCCUGUUUGAGUAUCAUGAAAUUCUCAAAGUAAAUCUUUUGUUAAUUCAACUGGUUUUGCUUUGGACUUGGAGGUCUUUGCAGAUUUCACGUCUGCUCCUCUUAAAUGCAUUAGCUGGAUCUCAGUAUAUGCUUGGUUCCACUCGGCGUGAUAAGUAUCACUCGCUGAGGACACUGUAAAAGGUGGCCAGGAAAUACAGAUGAACCGCUUCUAAUAGUCUAUUAAGUUAGACAAUUAAUUUUAAGAUCUGAUCUCAAGUAGGACUACCCGCUGAACUUAAGCAUAUCAAUAA
rnacentral:rRNA from 1 species